GACGAACGCUGGCGGCGUGCUUAACACAUGCAAGUCGAACGGAAAGGCCCUGCUUUUGUGGGGUGCUCGAGUGGCGAACGGGUGAGUAACACGUGAGUAACCUGCCCUUGACUUUGGGAUAACUUCAGGAAACUGGGGCUAAUACCGGAUAGGAGCUCCUGCUGCAUGGUGGGGGUUGGAAAGUUUCGGCGGUUGGGGAUGGACUCGCGGCUUAUCAGCUUGUUGGUGGGGUAGUGGCUUACCAAGGCUUUGACGGGUAGCCGGCCUGAGAGGGUGACCGGCAACAUUGGGACUGAGGUACGGCCCAGACUCCUACGGGAGGCAGCAGUGGGGAAUAUUGCAAAAUGGGCGGAAGCCUGAUGCAGCAACGCCGCGUGCGGGAUGACGGCCUUCGGGUUGUAAACCGCUUUCGCCUGUGACGAAGCGUGAGUGACGGUAAUGGGUAAAGAAGCACCGGCUAACUACGUG
rnacentral:rRNA from 1 species